UUUUCCGUUCAAGAGCAAUGCCAGAAAUAUUUAACAUGCGGUAAUUGACCUUAUCUAAGUUCGCGAAUUCUUCCAAAUUAAUUACUGAAUCAGCAUAAAAUUAAUUUUCGACUUUCUCUGUUACAAAAUUGCAAAAUCUGAUUGAUUUCUGUAAGAGUGUCAGUUCCACAACAAACUACCGAGCUUCGGUCUUUUGAAGCGAUCUCCCGUGUCUCAUAUUAGAGUUUUGUUGUUAUGUAAACAAUAUUAACAUCCAUCAGUGUCAUAUAAAUAAAUUGAAGUCCUUUUUUAAAUAUUGAAUGACAUAAACCAUUGUUAAAAAAUAAUCACCGAAUUUUAAAUACUCAAACUGUGACUGAGAUAGAUUUUUACGAAAGCAAGGCUCCUCUUCAUUAGUUAAAUCUGCAUUAUCAUUUAGUUUCGUGCUGUGUCUGAAAUGUUGUGUAUAUCAACAAAGAAGUAGGUUCUUUCAGUGAAUCAGCUUCUCUAUGAUGAGAAAAGGUUGUCUAAAAACAUUGACUUGAGAAUUUCAUACCCAAUAUGGAGCCAAAAAAAAAAUUGCCAGAUUUCAAAGACUGAA